rnacentral:rRNA from 1 species
AGAGUUUGAUCCUGGCUCAGAACGAACGCUGGCGGCAGGCCUAACACAUGCAAGUCGAACGAGAAGCUAUCCUUCGGGAUAGUGGAAAGUGGCAGACGGGUGAGUAACGCGUGGGAACGUGCCUUUCGGUUCGGGAUAACUCAGGGAAACUUGGGCUAAUACCGAAUACGCCCUUCGGGGGAAAGAUUUAUCGCCGAAAGAUCGGCCCGCGUCGGAUUAGCUUGUUGGUGAGGUAAAAGCUCACCAAGGCGACGAUCCGUAGCUGGUCUGAGAGGAUGAUCAGCCACACUGGGACUGAGACACGGCCCAGACUCCUACGGGAGGCAGCAGUGGGGAAUAUUGGACAAUGGGCGCAAGCCUGAUCCAGCCAUGCCGCGUGGGUGAAGAAGGCCCUAGGGUUGUAAACCCCUUUCAGCGGGGAAGAUAAUGACGGUACCCGCAGAAGAAGCCCCGGCUAACUCCGUGCCAGCAGCCGCGGUAAUACGGAGGGGGCUAGCGUUGUUCGGAAUUACUGGGCGUAAAGCGCGCGUAGGCGGACUUUCAGGUCAGGGGUGAAAUCCCGAGGCUCAACCUCGGAACUGCCUUUGAUACUGUAAGUCUUGAGUCCGAGAGAGGUGAGUGGAAUUCCUAGUGUAGAGGUGAAAUUCGUAGAUAUUAGGAAGAACACCAGUGGCGAAGGCGGCUCACUGGCUCGGUACUGACGCUGAGGUGCGAAAGCGUGGGGGAGCAAACAGGAUUAGAUACCCUGGUAGUCCACGCCGUAAACGAUGGAUGCUAGCCGUCGGGGAGCUUGCUCUUCGGUGGCGCAGCACACGCAUUAAGCAUCCCGCCUGGGGAGUACGGUCGCAAGAUUAAAACUCAAGGAAUUGACGG